rnacentral:rRNA from 1 species
CCUACGGGAGGCAGCAGUAAGGAAUAUUGGUCAAUGGACGCAAGUCUGAACCAGCCAUGCCGCGUGCAGGAUGAAGGCCCUCUGGGUUGUAAACUGCUUUUAUCUGGGACGAAAAAGGGGCUUUCUAGCUCAACUGACGGUACCAGAGGAAUAAGCACCAGCUAACUCCGUGCCAGCAGCCGCGGUAAUACGGAGGGUGCAAGCGUUAUCCGGAUUUACUGGGUUUAAAGGGUGCGUAGGUGGGUAAGUAAGUCAGUGGUGAAAUCUUCAAGCUUAACUUGGAAACUGCCAUUGAUACUAUUUAUCUUGAAUACUAUGGAGGUAAGCGGAAUAUGUCAUGUAGCGGUGAAAUGCUUAGAUAUGACAUAGAACACCAAUUGCGAAGGCAGCUUACUACACAGUCAUUGACACUGAGGCACGAAAGCGUGGGGAUCAAACAGGAUUAGAUACCCUGGUAGUCCACGCCCUAAACGAUGGAUACUCGACAUCGGCGAUACACUGUUGGUGUCUGAGNGAAGANAUAAUAUCCACCNGGAGACGACGCGAGUAGAAGUACAAGAAGUAGAGGACGUGAGAGNGCGAGGACGACGACGAGGGAGGAGG